GCGGGAGUGAUUCAGUGGUAGAAUGCCACCUUGCCAAGGUGGAAGUCGCGGGUCCGAAUCCCGUCUCCCGCU
rfam:Clostridium sp. CAG:349 genomic scaffold, scf4